AGCGAACGCUGGCGGCAGGCCUAACACAUGCAAGUCGAACGGAUCCUUCGGGAUUAGUGGCGGACGGGUGAGUAACACGUGGGAACGUGCCCUUUGGUUCGGAACAACUCAGGGAAACUUGAGCUAAUACCGGAUGUGCCCUUCGGGGGAAAGAGUUAUCGCCAUUGGAGCGGCCCGCGUCUGAUUAGCUAGUUGGUGAGGUAAAGGCUCACCAAGGCGACGAUCAGUAGCUGGUCUGAGAGGAUGAUCAGCCACAUUGGGACUGAGACACGGCGCAAACUCCUACGGGAGGCAGCAGUGGGGAAUCUUGCGCAAUGAGCGAAAACCUAACGCAGCCAUGCCGCGUGAAUGAUGAAGGUCUUAGGAUUGUAAAAUUCUUUCACCGGGGACGAUAAUGACGGUACCCGGAGAAGAAGCCCCGGCUAACUUCGUGCCAGCCGCCGCGGUAA
rnacentral:rRNA from 1 species